GACGAACGCUGGCGGCGUGCCUAAUACAUGCAAGUUGAGCGAUGAAGAUUGGUGCUUGCACCAAUUUGAAGAGCAGCGAACGGGUGAGUAACGCGUGGGGAAUCUGCCUUUGAGCGGGGGACAACAUUUGGAAACGAAUGCUAAUACCGCAUAACAACUUUAAACAUAAGUUUUAAGUUUGAAAGAUGCAAUUGCAUCACUCAAAGAUGAUCCCGCGUUGUAUUAGCUAGUUGGUGAGGUAAAGGCUCACCAAGGCGAUGAUACAUAGCCGACCUGAGAGGGUGAUCGGCCACAUUGGGACUGAGACACGGCCCAAACUCCUACGGGAGGCAGCAGUAGGGAAUCUUCGGCAAUGGACGAAAGUCUGACCGAGCAACGCCGCGUGAGUGAAGAUGGUUUUCGGAUCGUAAAACUCUGUUGGUAGAGAAGAACGUUGGUGAGAGUGGAAAGCUCAUCAAGUGACGGUAACUACCCAGAAAGGGACGGCUAACUACGUG
rnacentral:rRNA from 1 species